rnacentral:misc_RNA from 1 species
UUCGCAUGCACACAACAACACCGGGCUUGCGUGCAUGAGCAUUCAGAGGCGGGGCACAUAGUGAAUUAUCUUCCAUAUGCAGUACUGCUGUUUAGCAUUGCUGUGAACAAGGAGAGUCAAUGUGUAUUGCAUUGAACCUGGAUGUGUUGCAGCUGCUUCGCAACCUAAACAUGGAGCUAUUGGCUUUGAAUUGUAUUGUGGAAAUGUAUUACCAACAGAGGUGCAGGUGCCAGCCUAUUGAAAUAGAGCGUCAAUGAGGGUGAGAAU